UACGUAGGGUGCAAGCGUUAUCCGGAAUUAUUGGGCGUAAAGAGCUCGUAGGCGGUUUGUCGCGUCUGCUGUGAAAACUGGGGGCUCAACUCCCAGCCUGCAGUGGGUACGGGCAGACUAGAGUGCGGUAGGGGAGAUUGGAAUUCCUGGUGUAGCGGUGGAAUGCGCAGAUAUCAGGAAGAACACCAAUGGCGAAGGCAGCUCUCUGGGACGGUACUGACGCUGAGACGCGAAAGCGUGGGGAGCGAACAGG
rnacentral:rRNA from 1 species